rnacentral:rRNA from 1 species
UUCCGGUUGAUCCUGCCGGAGGCCAUUGCUAUCGGAGUCCGAUUUAGCCAUGCUAGUCGCACGGGCUCAGACCCGUGGCGAAUAGCUCCGUAACACGUGGCCAAACUACCCUACGGAGAGGCACAACCUCGGGAAACUGAGGCUAAUUCCUCAUACGGAACUCAGACUGGAACCGUCGAGUUCCCCAAACGCUCCGGCGCCGUAGGAUGUGGCUGCGGCCGAUUAGGUAGACGGUGGGGUAACGGCCCACCGUGCCGAUAAUCGGUACGGGUUGUGAGAGCAAGAACCCGGAGACGGAAUCUGAGACAAGAUUCCGGGCCCUACGGGGCGCAGCAGGCGCGAAACCUUUACACUGCACGAUAGUGCGAUAAGGGGACUCCGAGUGCGAGGGCAUAUCGUCCUCGCUUUUCUGAACCGUAGGGAGGUUCAGGAACAAGAGCUGGGCAAGACCGGUGCCAGCCGCCGCGGUAAUACCGGCAGCUCAAGUGAUGGCCGAUUUUAUUGGGCCUAAAGCGUCCGUAGCUGGCCAGACAGGUCCGUCGGGAAAUCCACCCGCUCAACGGGUGGGCGUCCGGCGGAAACCCUCUGGCUUGGGACCAGAAGACCCGAGGGGUACGUCCGGGGUAGGAGUGAAAUCCCGUAAUCCUGGACGGACCACCGAUAGCGAAAGCACCUCGGGAAGAUGGAUCCGACAGUGAGGGACGAAAGCUGGGGUCUCGAACCGGAUUAGAUACCCGGGUAGUCCCAGCUGUAAACGAUGUCCGCUAGGUGUGGCACAGGCUACGAGCCUGUGCUGUGCCGUAGGGAAGCCGAGAAGCGGACCGCCUGGGAAGUACGUCUGCAAGGAUGAAACUUAAAGGAAUUGGCGGGGGAGCACUACAACCGGAGGAGCCUGCGGUUUAAUUGGA